rnacentral:rRNA from 1 species
CCUGGCUCAGAUUGAACGCUGGCGGCAGGCCUAACACAUGCAAGUCGAGCGGUAGAGAGAAGCUUGCUUCUCUUGAGAGCGGCGGACGGGUGAGUAAUGCCUAGGAAUCUGCCUGGUAGUGGGGGAUAACGUUCGGAAACGGACGCUAAUACCGCAUACGUCCUACGGGAGAAAGCAGGGGACCUUCGGGCCUUGCGCUAUCAGAUGAGCCUAGGUCGGAUUAGCUAGUUGGUGAGGUAAUGGCUCACCAAGGCGACGAUCCGUAACUGGUCUGAGAGGAUGAUCAGUCACACUGGAACUGAGACACGGUCCAGACUCCUACGGGAGGCAGCAGUGGGGAAUAUUGGACAAUGGGCGAAAGCCUGAUCCAGCCAUGCCGCGUGUGUGAAGAAGGUCUUCGGAUUGUAAAGCACUUUAAGUUGGGAGGAAGGGCAGUUACCUAAUACGUGAUUGUUUUGACGUUACCGACAGAAUAAGCACCCGGCUAACU